rnacentral:rRNA from 1 species
GACGAACGCUGGCGGCGUGCCUAAUACAUGCAAGUAGAACGCUGAAGGAGGAGCUUGCUUCUCUGGAUGAGUUGCGAACGGGUGAGUAACGCGUAGGUAACCUGCCUGGUAGCGGGGGAUAACUAUUGGAAACGAUAGCUAAUACCGCAUACUAGCAGUUGUUGCAUGACAACUGUUUGAAAGGUGCAAUUGCACCACUACCAGAUGGACCUGCGUUGUAUUAGCUAGUUGGUGGGGUAACGGCUCACCAAGGCGACGAUACAUAGCCGACCUGAGAGGGUGGUGAUCCAAUCGGGGACUGGGACAAGCCCCACACGCAAAGGGGAGGGGGCAGUAGGGAAUCUUGGGCAAUGGACGGAAGGCGGAGCGAGAUAAGCCGCGUGAGUGAAGAAGGUUUUCGGAUCGUAAAGCUCGGUUGUAAGAGAAGAACGAGAGUGAGAGUGGAAGGUUCACACUGUGACGGUAGCUUACCAGAAAGGGACGGCUAACUACGUG